AUGUUAUCAACACACCAGCACAUUCCAUACAGAGAGAACAAGAACUUGACUGGAACAGCAAGAUAUGCAAGUGUAAAUACCCACCUUGGAAUUGAACAAAGCCGGAGGGAUGACAUGGAAUCUCUUGGAUAUGUACUGAUGUACUUCUUGCGAGGAAGCCUUCCAUGGCAGGGCCUGAAAGCUGGGAACAAAAAA